rnacentral:rRNA from 1 species
AACGAACGCUGGCGGCGUGCCUAAUACAUGCAAGUAGAACGCCGUUGCGAACGGGUGAGUAACGCGUCGGUAACUGCCUCAUAGCGGGGGGUAACUAUUGGGAACGGUAGCUAAUACCCCAUACUGUUGGAUAGACCUGCGUUGUAUUAGCUAGUUGGUGGGGUAAAGGCUCACCAAGGCGACGAUGCCUAGCCGACCUGAGAGGGUGAUCGGCCACACUGGGACUGAGACACGGCCCAGACUCCUACGGGAGGCAGCAGUAGGGAAUCUUCGGCAAUGGACGGAAGCCUGAUCCAGCCAUGCCGCGUGUGUGAAGAAGGUCUUCGGAUUGUAAAGCACUUUAAGUUGGGAGGCGUUACCAACAGAAUAAGCACCGGCUAACUUCGUGCCAGCCGCCGCGGUAAUUC